rnacentral:rRNA from 1 species
AACGAACGCUGGCGGCGCGCCUAAUGCAUGCAAGUCGAGCGAGAAGACGUAGCAAUACGUUUGUAAAGCGGCGAACGGGUGAGGAAUACAUGGGUAACCUACCCUCGAGUGGGGAAGUAACUAGCCGAAGGUUAGCUAAUACCGCGUACGCUCCUUGGACUUCGGUUCAGGGAGGAAAGCGAUACCGUGGGUAGUCGCGCUCUUGGAUGGGCUCAUGUCCUAUCAGCUUGNGGUGAGGUAACGGCUCACCAAGGCUUCGACGGGUAGCUGGUCUGAGAGGACGAUCAGCCACACUGGCACUGCGACACGGGCCAGACUCCUACGGGAGGCAGCAGUAAGGAAUAUUGCGCAAUGGGCGAAAGCCUGACGCAGCGACGCCGCGUGGGGGAGUAGAGG